rnacentral:piRNA from 1 species
UGCCUGGUGCUGUGGCUUCACAGUGUCC